UUUAUGGGGAGUUUAGCUGGUUCAGGUAUUGGCUGGACACGGUCGGCGGCGGGAAGGGUAGGGAUAGGGGAGCAGGCGCGAGAGUUGGGUGCGGGACGGCGGCAGCGGCGGCAUAAGCGAGAGGUGGGUGCCAUGACGACAACAGCGGCGGCAGGAGCGCGAGACAGGCUCUAGGUCGGCGGCAGGAGCGCGAGGCGGGCUCUAGGUCGUCGGCAAUAGCGCGAGGCGGGCUCUAGGUCGGCGGCAGGAGCGCGAGGCGGCCUCUAGAUCGGCGGCAGGAGCGCGAGACGGACUCUAGGUCGGCGGCAGGAGUACGAGUCCCUAGUUGGGGGAGGGAACUAGGGGUAGGAGGGCGGGGGUUGAAGCAGGCGGUAGAAGGAGCGCGAAGAGGGGACAGCUGGGGCGGGGCCCGGGGUCGGGACGGUGCUCGAGAGGUGGGCACGAGGGGCAAGGACGACGGCGGCUAUCUCUAGGUAGGUGCUCGAGAGGUAUGGCGACGCGGGGAGGACUUCGGUCGGCAGACAACGACGUCUAGAGGCGUGUCUGAGCAGAAAAGGUUAUCCUUCGCCACCCACUGCCUUACAGUUCCGCAGACCAGUCUACUGGACCCAGGCACCGCUCAACCACCUAGAGCUGAUGUCCUUGUAGUAUCUCCGUUACUAUAAUCUAAACUUGUUCUUAGAUAUUUCCGGAGAUUCCCUCGUCUCCUUUCUUUUCUUUUGCGGACUAUCACAUCUCACGUGAAGCCGUCAUUCCAGUUGUGCUCUGAUGAGUACUUUGCGGAGGUAGUCCUCCGUUUUUAUAUGUCUAUGCUUCUAACGUACGGCCCUUCGAAAGAAGAUAAAUCCUGAAUUCUAUGAGCUGAGAGAUUCAAGUCUU
rnacentral:rRNA from 1 species